AUUAACGUAAUGAUGAGCUACGUUUUUACCUUGGGACACCUAUGAAAUGCCUUGAUUAGUGUAAAUUUAUUAUCGCUGAAAUUUAA
rfam:Drosophila grimshawi strain TSC#15287-2541.00 scaffold_15110 genomic scaffold, whole genome shotgun sequence.